rnacentral:rRNA from 1 species
CAGCCGCCGCGGUAAUACGGAGGAGGCAAGCGUUGUCCGGAAUCAUUGGGCGUAAAGAGCGCGUAGGCUGUUUUUCAAGUCAUAUGUGAAAACCUCAGGCUUAACUUGAGGACUGCAUAUGAAACUGGAAAACUUGAGUGCAGUAGGGGAAAGUGGAAUUCCUGGUGUAGCGGUGAAAUGCGCAGAUAUCAGGAAGAACACCGGUAGCGAAGGCGGCUUUCUGGGCUGCUACUGACGCUGAGGCGCGAAAGCUAGGGGAGCAAACAGGAUUAGAUACCCUGGUAGUCCUAGCUGUAAACGAUGGACACUAGGUGUGGGGAGUUAUCGACGCUUUCCGUGCCGGAGCUAACGCAUUAAGUGUCCCGCCUGGGGAGUACGGUCGCAAGACUAAAACUCAAAGGAAUUGACGGGGGCCCGCACAAGCGGCGGAGCAUGUGGCUUAAUUCGAUGCAACGCGAAGAACCUUACCAAGGCUUGACAUCAUAUUGACGAUUAUAGAAAUAUAAUUUCUCUUCGGAGCAAUAUGACAGGUGGUGCAUGGCUGUCGUCAGCUCGUGUCGUGAGAUGUUGGGUUAAGUCCCGCAACGAGCGCAACCCUUGUCCCAUGUUGCUAACAGUUCGGCUGAGCACUCUUGGGAUACUGCCAGCGUAAAGCUGGAGGAAGGUGGGGAUGACGUCAAGUCAUCAUGCCCUUUAUGCCUUGGGCCGCACACGUGCUACAAUGGACCGUACAAAGAGCAGCGAUACUGUGAAGUGGAGCAAAUCUGAUAAAGCGGUUCAAAGUCCGGAUCGCAGGCUACAAUUCGCCUGCGUCAAGUUGAAAUCGCUAGUAAUCGCGGAUCAGCAUUGCCGCGGUGAAUACGUUCUCGGGCCUUGUACACACCGCCCGUCACAUCACGAAAGUUGGUCAUACCCGAAGUCGUUGAGCUAACCCUUCGGGGAGGUAAGUGCCGAAGGUGUGGUCGAUGAUUGGGGUGAAGUCGUAACAAGGUACCCGUA